UUGGGACCCAAAUUGAUCUCAGAGAUGA
rnacentral:piRNA from 1 species